GGAAUUCUCCUGCUUCAGCCUCCCAAGCAGCUGAGAUUACAGAUUUGCAACAAACAUGAAUCUGGUGGGUGCCCUGUCUCAUCCACUGAGAUGUCCUCUUCAGCCUGACUACAUGGAGGUCCAGUCUGACUUGUACCUGCUCAGUCUUUUGACUUUAUCUUCUGGCUCCCUGAGAUGUCCCAGCCACCAGAGAUCAGAACAAACAUUGGUAAUCCUUUAGCUUUGUAUUCUGGUUUUCCCUUAUUAUUUGCCUUACUUUAUCCCAGUCAGCUUGGUUUUUAGAAAUGUGCUUUUCAUAGUUUAUCCAGCAUUUUUAGAUGUUCUGUACUGGGAAGAGUCACUCUGAAUGUUUAGUUCUCAAUAUUGGCCCUUAAUUAUCUGAGAUGCUCUUUUCUAAUAUUAUUUGUAACACUUGGGACUCACGAAGACCUACCUAACUCACCUAACAGCAAAAAUGAUUCAACUCAGUAAGCAAUGGUGGUGGUUACUGUUUUGGAGAGGCAUAUGUUAAUUAGAGCAAUGCUUCUCAAAGUAUCUGAAUCAUAAUCUCCUGCAGGGACUAGUUUGAAAUGCAAAUCCCAAUCUCUCAUCUUCUUGAGGUUGUGAUUCAGUAGGUCUAGGGUGAAACCCAAGGACCCACAUUUUUAACAGUGACUUCUAAGUGCUUUUGAUAAAAGUGAACAGCUAACCUACUCUGAGAAAUGUAGCUAGCAGAAGACUGGGAAAAACAUUCAUUUGGAGAGAGGGCUAUGUGGACUUUGAGGGCUGCCUUCUCUUUGGAAGAAAAGAACAUGGACUUUGGAACCAGACCAUCUAAUCUGAACUUUGCUCCACAACAAUCACCUGUUAGAUCUUGAGCAAGAGUCUUAAACAUAUUUGUGCCUUAGCUUCCUUAUGUUAGAUGGAGUUAAUAAUACCUUUUUAUAAGUUUGAUAUGAGAAUUAAAUGUGAUAAUAGAUAUUAAGCAUCUUGUAGACUUUUUGCUAAACAUAGCUUUUAAAUUCACACAUUUAUUUUAACUCAUGCUGAAACCCUGCCAAAAUGACAAGAAAGGAAUACAAAAAGGCGUACGUGUCCAAGCCCAAGGAAAAUGAGAAAAGUAGAAAACAGU